UAGGCCAAAGGCCAUGAAUUGU
rnacentral:miRNA from 1 species